rnacentral:rRNA from 1 species
GGGUUGUUGCUGGCCCCAACGGGGCAUGUGCACGCUCUGUUUACACAUCCACUCACACCUGUGCACCCUCUGUAGUUCUGUGGAUCGGGAGACGCCGUCUUCCUUCCGUAGCUCUACGUUUUUACACACACACCGUAGCGAUGUCUCAUGGAAUGUUUUUCGCGUUUAACGCAAUACAAUACAACUUUCAGCAACGGAUCUCUUGGCUCUCGCAUCGAUGAAGAACGCAGCGAAAUGCGAUAAGUAAUGUGAAUUGCAGAAUUCAGUGAAUCAUCGAAUCUUUGAACGCACCUUGCGCCCCUUGGUUAUUCCUCGGGGCAUGCCUGUUUGAGUAUCAUGAACACCUCAACUCUCAUGGUCUUCCAUGACGAGCUUGGACUUUGGGGGUUUGCUGGCCCUGUGGCCGGCUCCUCUCAAACAAAUCAGCUUGCCAGUGUUUGGCGGCGUCACGGGUGUGAUAACUAUCUACGCUCGCGGUCGUCUGCCAGGUAACCCUCAGCGAUGAAGGUUCAUUGGGGCUCAUAAACGUCUCUCCCCAGCGAGGACAACUUUUUAACGUUCGAUCUCAAAUCAGGUAGGACUACCCGCUGAACUUAAGCAUAUCAAUA